rnacentral:rRNA from 1 species
GCGUGGCAAAGUGGAAUGGAAAGUUAAGUUAGCGGUGAAAUGUCAGUCGAACUUUAUAUAUCUGGUUGUUUCCGAAGUAAAUUGAAUUUGACUUUAGCGAGAAAUUUCGCUGGGGGUUCAUUUAAGGGGGAAAAGCUCCUUAAUUUUGUGUAUAAGAGUGUUUUUUGAUUAAUUAGAAUUAGGCUUAAGAUCAGCCAUAUUACUGCAACGUUUUAGUGUAUAGUUGUUUAUAUGAAAAAUUUGUUUCUUUUUAUGGAAAGUAGGAAAUUAGGUGCAAAAAUGUGGGUUGUUCUGAAAAAAUGAUUGUAUUAGUAAAAUUUUUGUUAAAGAAUUUAAAAAUCUAAAUUUGUACAAUUUAAAUUUUGAGAUUUAUUUUUAAGGAAUUCGGCAAUUUGUGUGCCCACCUGUUUAUCAAAAACAUGUCUAUUGGGGUUUAAAUCAAUAGUCUGACCUGCCCACUGAAUAUUUUAAAUGGCCGCGGUAUUUAGACCGUGCUAAGGUAGCAUAAUCAAUAGUCUUUUAAUUGGGGACUAGAAUGAACGGUUGGAUGAGGUACAAGCUGUCUGGCAAUUGUAAUUUUGAAUUUUACUAUUAAGUGAAAAGGCUUAAAUUAUUUAGCGGGACGACAAGACCCUAUAAAGCUUUUAUUUGGCUUAUUAUUUUAAUUAUGAUAUUUUUGUGUUUAUGUUAAAAUUGGGGCCGAAUUAGGUUGGGGCGACUAGGAUAUAAAAGGUAACUGUCCUUAUGAUUAAAAUAAUGGUUUUUAGGUAGUUGAUCCUGUAGUAUGGGUUAAAAGAUUAAAGUUACUUUAGGGAUAACAGCGUAA